rnacentral:rRNA from 1 species
AAUAUCAAAGGUGAGCCAGUACAGGAUGGACCCGCGUCUGAUUAGCUAGUUGGUAAGGUAACGGCUUACCAAGGCGACGAUCAGUAGCCGACCUGAGAGGGUGAUCGGCCACAUUGGAACUGAGACACGGUCCAAACUCCUACGGGAGGCAGCAGUGGGGAAUAUUGCACAAUGGGCGAAAGCCUGAUGCAGCAACGCCGCGUGAGUGAUGAAGGCCUUCGGGUCGUAAAACUCUGUCCUCAAGGAAGAUAAUGACGGUACUUGAGGAGGAAGCCCCGGCUAACUACGUGCCAGCAGCCGCGGUAAUACGUAGGGGGCUAGCGUUAUCCGGAUUUACUGGGCGUAAAGGGUGCGUAGGCGGUCUUUCAAGUCAGGAGUGAAAGGCUACGGCUCAACCGUAGUAAGCUCUUGAAACUGGGAGACUUGAGUGCAGGAGAGGAGAGUGGAAUUCCUAGUGUAGCGGUGAAAUGCGUAGAUAUUAGGAGGAACACCAGUUGCGAAGGCGGCUCUCUGGACUGUAACUGACGCUGAGGCACGAAAGCGUGGGGAGCAAACAGGAUUAGAUACCCUGGUAGUCCACGCUGUAAACGAUGAGUACUAGGUGUCGGGG